GCAAAGGCAAGCAAGCAGGUCAGAAUUCUGUUGUAUCUGCUGGCUUACCAUCUAAUGCGGGCUGGGACAGAACCAGACAGAGACUCACUAUAUAACCUUGGCUACCUUGGAACUUACUAUGUAGACUACGUUGCCUUUUCCUGAGUACCAAGCUCUUGGUACUGAAGGCAGAAACCAGAGCCUCACACAUAUUGGGCAAGCACCUGAAAGUUAUCCUAGGGUCAAAACAUGAAAAUCCUUAAAAGGAAAUAAAUAAAUAAAUAUCCCUUUUAUAUAGAUUUUGCCCUCAAGUGCGGAUGGUAGUGUCUACCUAACUUUAUUACAAGGAAGACCCGUUAUAGUUACCAUGACUACCUUUCAAAUAAUGGCCUUCAAUAUGUGUAGUGCUCAUACACUUACUUUAUUUAAAUAAAUAGACUUCACUUUCUGGCUCCUGGGAACUAGACUUCAUCUGUGUCAUCUUAAUUUAAAAUCCUAGAUUUGAAGGUAAAACAUUGGGUUGUUGUCUUUUUUUUUUUAAUUUUUCUUUCUUUUUGGUUUUUUGAGACAGGGUUUCUCUGUGUUGCCCUGGCUGUCCCAGAUCUUGGUCUGUAGAGCAGGUUGAUAACUUGAACUCACAGAGAUUCUCCUGCCUCUGCCUCCGGAGUGCUGGGAUUAAAGGCAUGCGCCACUAUCGCUCGGCAACACUGGAGUUUUCACUUGUUGUAUUUUGACUUCUGGUGACCAGUGGACUUUUUUUUUGUACUUUAGUUUCUCUCCUAGUUGAUGUGUGGUUGGUAAGAGAAGCUCUCAGCUGUCACUUGGUGGGAAAGGCAGCAUCUCAUGGCCACGCCCCUUUCACUCGUGAGCUCCAGCAGGUGCUGGGGGCCUGACUGACUCUCCCCAGUGGCUUUUUCUUUUUGACAGCCUCAGCCAUCACACCUGUUGUUCCCACAUCUCUUUUCCCAUCUAAACAUUAUUUAUUUAUUUAUUUAUUUAUUUAUUUAUUUAUUUUUGCUUAAAUCAGUUUUGUUAUUAGGUGAUCAUCUUUGGCAUUCAGGACAGCCUACAUCGGUCGGCUACACGGUUCAUCUUCUCUGGUGUUUGAUCCAGAUGUGUUUUUAUGGAAAUAAAAGAAUUAGACUUAUUCUUGAAUCAGAGAUA
ensembl:antisense Gm12472 uncharacterized LOC110292756